rnacentral:rRNA from 1 species
UACAGAGGGUGCAAGCGUUAAUCGGAAUUACUGGGCGUAAAGCGUGCGUAGACGGUUACAUAAGUCGGGUGUGAAAGCCCCGGGCUCAACCUGGGAAUUGCAUUCGAGACUGCGUAGCUAGGGUGCGGAAGAGGGAAGCGGAAUUUCCGGUGUAGCGGUGAAAUGCGUAGAUAUCAGGAGGAACACCUGCGGUGUAGACGGCUUACUGGACCAUAACUGACGCUGAGGCACGAAAGCGUGGGUAGCAAACAGG